rnacentral:rRNA from 1 species
AACGAACGCUGGCGGCAGGCCUAACACAUGCAAGUCGAACGCCCCGCAAGGGGAGUGGCAGACGGGUGAGUAACACGUGGGAACCUUCCCAACAGUACGGAAUAGCCCAGGGAAACUUGGAGUAAUACCGUAUAUUCCCGAGAGGGGAAAGAUUUAUCGGAAUUGGAUGAGCCCGCGUUGGAUUAGCUAGUUGGUGGGGUAAUGGCCUACCAAGGCGACGAUCCAUAGCUGGUCUGAGAGGAUGAUCAGCCACACUGGGACUGAGACACGGCCCAGACUCCGACGGGAGGCAGCAGUGGGGAAUAUUGGACAAUGGGCUCAAGCCUGAUCCAGCCAUGCCGCGUGAGUGAUGAAGGCCUUAGGGUUGUAAAGCUCUUUCAGUGGGGAAGAUAAUGACGGUACCCACAGAAGAAGCCCCGGCUAACUUCGUGCCAGCAGCCGCAGUAACAC